rnacentral:rRNA from 1 species
GUUCCAACGGUACAGGAUGGGCUCGCGUCUGAUUAGCUAGUUGGUGAGGUAACGGCUCACCAAGGCGACGAUCAGUAGCCGACCUGAGAGGGUGAACGGCCACACUGGAACUGAGACACGGUCCAGACUCCUACGGGAGGCAGGGCGAAAGCCUGACGGAGCAACGCCGCGUGAGCGAAGAAGGUCUUCGGAUUGUAAAGCUCUGUGAUAUUGGACGAACAAUUUCCCGUAAAUAAUGGGAAGGAAUGACGGUACAAUAAGAGGAAGCCACGGCUAACUACGUGCCAGCAGCCGCGGUAAUACGUAGGUGGCAAACGUUGUCCGGAAUUACUGGCGUAAAGGGCGAGUAGGUGGUUUAUUAAGUCAAGAGUGAAAACUCCAGGCUCAACUUGGAGACUGCUCUACGAAACUGGUAGACUUGAGUGCAAGAGAGGGAAGUGGAAUUCCUAGUGUAGCGGUGAAAUGCGUAGAUAUUAGGAGGAACACCAGUGGCGAAGGCGACUUCCUGGCUUGUAACUGACACUGAGGCGCGAAAGCGUGGGGAUCAAACAGGAUUAGAUACCCUGGUAGUCCACGCCGUAAACGAUGAGUACUAGGUGUCGGGGUCGCAAGGCCUCGGUGCCGCAGCUAACGCAAUAAGUAUCCCGCCUGGGGAGUACGGCCGCAAGGCUGAAACUCAAAGGAAUUGACGGGGACCCGCACAAGCAGCGGAGCAUGUGGUUUAAUUCGAAGCAACGCGAAGAACCUUACCAAGGCUUGACAUCCCUUGACCGCCAUGGAAACAUGGUUUCCCUUCGGGGCAAGGAGACAGGUGGUGCAUGGUUGUCGUCAGCUCGUGUCGUGAGAUGUUGGGUUAAGUCCCGCAACGAGCGCAACCCUUAUCAUUAGUUGCCAGCGGGUAAUGCCGGGAACUCUAAUGAGACUGCCGGGGAUAACUCGGAGGAAGGUGGGGACGACGUCAAAUCAUCAUGCCCCUUAUGUCUUGGGCUACACACGUGCUACAAUGGCCGGUACAAAGGGCUGCAAACCCGCAAGGGGGAGCGAAUCCCAUAAAGCCGGUCUCAGUUCGGAUCGUGGGCUGCAACCCGCCCACGUGAAGCCGGAGUUGCUAGUAAUCGCGGAUCAGCAUGCCGCGGUGAAUGCGUUCCCGGGUCUUGUACACACCGCCCGUCACACCAUGGGAGUUGGGAGCGCCCGAAGCCAGUGAGCUAACCGCAAGGAGGCAGCUGUCGAAGGCGAGAUCAAUGACUGGGGUGAAGUCGUAACAAGGUAACCU